GACGGAGGGCGCAAGCGUUACCCGGAAUUACUGGGCGUAAAGCGUCCGUAGGCGGCUUUGCAAGUCGGAGGUGAAAGGCCUCAGCUCAACUGAGGAAUUGUCUCCGAAACUGCAAAGCUUGAGGAAGGUAGAAGUGAGUGGAAUUCGGUGUGUAGGGGUAAAAUCCGUUGAUACACCGAGGAACGCCAAAAGCGAAAGCAGCUCACUAGCCCUUUCCUGACGCUGAGGGACGAAAGCAUGGGUAGCGAAGCGG
rnacentral:misc_RNA from 1 species